rnacentral:rRNA from 1 species
GAUGAACGCUAGCGACAGGCUUAACACAUGCAAGUCGAGGGGCAGCACGGUGUAGCAAUACAUUGGUGGCGACCGGCGCACGGGUGGGUAACGCGUAUGCAACCUACCUAUCAGAGGGGAAUAACCCGGCGAAAGUCGGACUAAUACCGCAUAAAACAGGGGUUCCACAUGGAAAUAUUUGUUAAAGAUUUAUCGCUGAUAGAUGGGCAUGCGUUCCAUUAGAAAGUUGGUGAGAUAACGGCUCACCAAGUCCACGAUGGAUAGGGGGUCUGAGAGGAAGGUCCCCCACACUGGUACUGAGACACGGACCAGACUCCUACGGGAGGCAGCAGUGAGGAAUAUUGGUCAAUGGGCGAGAGCCUGAACCAGCCAAGUCGCGUGAAGGAUGAAGGAUCUAUGGUUUGUAAACUUCUUUUAUAUGGGAAUAAAGUGAGGAACGUGUUCCUUUUUGUAUGUACCAUAUGAAUAAGCAUCGGCUAACUCCGUGCCAGCAGCCGCCGUAA